rnacentral:rRNA from 1 species
UUGAACGCUGGCGGCAGGCCUAACACAUGCAAGUCGAGCGGAUGAAGGGAGCUUGCUCCUGGAUUCAGCGGCGGACGGGUGAGUACUGCCUAGGAAUCUGCCUGGUAGUGGGGGAUAACGUCCGGAAACGGGCGCUAAUACCGCAUACGUCCUGAGGGAGAAAGUGGGGGAUCUUCGGACCUCACGCUAUCAGAUGAGCCUAGGUCGGAUUAGCUAGUUGGUGGGGUAAAGGCCUACCAAGGCGACGAUCCGUAACUGGUCUGAGAGGAUGAUCAGUCACACUGGAACUGAGACACGGUCCAGACUCCUACGGGAGGCAGCAGUGGGGAAUAUUGGACAAUGGGCGAAAGCCUGAUCCAGCCAUGCCGCGUGUGUGAAGAAGGUCUUCGGAUUGUAAAGCACUUUAAGUUGGGAGGAAGGGCAGUAAGUUAAUACCUUGCUGUUUUGACGUUACCAACAGAAUAAGCACCGGCUAACUUCGUG